AGAAGGAAAGUUCGGAAGAGAGUGUCGCGAAAAGGAGAAUCAUUACUAGCUUUGGAUGGAAUUUCUGUUUUGACAGAGAUGAAGACAUUUUACGCCCCGGUACUGCGUUGCAUGCAGUGGACUGUGCCUGAGACGAUUCCCAUAGCGCCGGCGAAUAGUCAGCUUGUAUAAAUGGAAUCUGAAUGCUCACAAGAAGGACAAAUGCAGUAUGGAAAUUAACACAAAGAAAUUGUGCCAGAAAAGUAAGUGUCUACGGGAACAAUCAACAUCGAACUUUCUGAGCCUUCCUACUUAAACUAAAGUGAAUUCAUUUGUGAAUUUCAUGGGAUAUCAGUGAGGAAGUGAUUCAAGCAGACACUUGAGAAAUUUCGGAUCUAACUUAUAAAUUAGGAUCUUUGGCAUAUUCGGGGAAAAUAGCGUGACUGUGUUGAUUUUAUGGGAUCUUUUUAUUAAUAUAGUUGUAGUGGAUAUUUUGUCUUAAUACAUGUGUUUGUCACUCUAGUCUAGUCAUUAACUUUGUACGGUAAAUGUUCAUGGGCAACUGGAAGUUCAUUGUAACAGUAUACCCCGUUGAGGUUUCAAUGACCUCUCCCAAUGUUAUUAAGUCAAAUGUCAUAUUUUAAAAAAAGAAAUAGUUUGUUUUAUUACAAAGAAAUGUUGAUCAGUGAGAAUACUUAGAAAAAAAUAUGCUUACAUUGUACAUCUAUAAGUGUAUAUGUAAUAUUUGUUUGAAAACACAUUGUGAAAGAAACAAUUUUUUUUAAUUUUGAAAAUAUAGAUUUGAUCUAUGAUAAAUUGAACAUUAAUUGAAUUGAAUUCAGUUUUCAUUGUAUCUUCCUGGAAUUUCUUAGAUUUCAAUGGAAUUCCAUAGAUUUCUAAAUAUCCUUGUGCACAGAUAUGUUGGGCCACCAUAAGAAUUA